UACGUAGGGUGCAAGCGUUGUCCGGAAUUAUUGGGCGUAAAGAGCUCGUAGGCGGUUUGUCGCGUCGAAUGUGAAAACCCGGGGCUCAACUCCGGGCCUGCAUUCGAUACGGGCAGACUAGAGUUCGGUAGGGGAGACUGGAAUUCCUGGUGUAGCGGUGGAAAUGCGCAGAUAUCAGGAGGAACACCGGUGGCGAAGGCGGGUCUCUGGGCCGAUGACUACGCUGGAGGAGCGAAAAGCGUGGGGAGCGAACAGG
rnacentral:rRNA from 1 species